UGGGUUCCCUAAUUUUUUUUUAUAAAAUUUAAAACACUAGUGACAUACCUAAAAUACUCUAAAAAUUUAAAAUCGGUGUCCAAAACUCAUUCCGACCUCGUGCUCCAGUGCCAGCUCUUCCACCCACGACGGUGAUUUGCCUUGACUGGGCCAGUUUUGGUCGAUUUUUGCCGUAGUUCUGCAGAAAAAUACGUUAAGGGCCUUAAUUGAUCAGGAAAUCAC
rnacentral:lncRNA from 1 species